rnacentral:rRNA from 1 species
UACGAAGGGGGCUAGCGUUGCUCGGAAUUACUGGGCGUAAAGCGCGCGCAGGUUGUCUGUUAAGUCGGGGGUGAAAGCCCGGAGCUCAACUCCGGAAAUGCCCUCGAAACUGGCAGACUUGAGUCCGGAAGAGGAGAGUAGAAUUCCCAGUGUAGAGGUGAAAUUCGUAGAUAUUGGGAAGAAUACCAGUGGCGAAGGCGGCUCUCUGGUCCGGUACUGACACUGAGGCGCGAAAGCGUGGGGAGCAAAC